AAACAUAUGCAAAGAAAUGAGUAAAAUAGAAAGUUAAAAAGGCUUUUUAGCAAGUAAAAUUGAAAGUGCAAUGUAUUUAAGAAAGUGAGAAAAUUAAAUUGAAAGUUAUUUAAGAUCAGAUCAACAGACUCUCUGGAACCCAAGUCGGGACUACAACCCGACCUAAAGGACAAUAUUCUAGGACUCUAACCCAGCUUCUAGGACUCUAGCCCAGCAACCUUUCUCUCUGGUAUCAGAUCAUGUAUUUUUCUGGUAAAAAUAGAAAAUAAAGGGAAAGUUAAAAAGGCAUUUUAGUAAAAUAAUGGUACACGUAUCAACAUUGACAAACUAACAAAGAUGAACAAAUCACUUGGAUGACAUGCUAUUACAAUAUUCUAGGACUCUAACCCUUAUACAAAUACAAAAAAUACAAACAAACUCAGGACUCUAACCCUUAUACAAAUACAAACUAAACUCAGGACUCUAACCCUUAUACAAAUACAAAAAAUACAAACAAACUCAGGACUCUAACCCUUAUACAAAUACAAACAAAACUCAGGACUCUAACCCUUAUACAAAUACAAACUCAGGAGCAGAAAGCUAAAGCAAACAUAAAAGUCUUCAAUCUUGUUUUGAAGGUGCUCAGAGUUGGGGCAAGUCUUAAAUCCUCAGGGAGUUUAUUCCAGCUAUUUGUUGCAUAGUAACUAAAUCCUGCUUUCCCAUGUUUCGUGUUUGCUCUGGGGAUCAUUAACAGAUUGGUCUCAGAAGAUCUUAGUGUUCUAGAAGGCUUAUGUAGUGGAAGCAUAUCAGUUAAAUAUUUUGGGCCUAAACCAUGUAGGGAUUUAUAGGUUAGCAACAUGAUUUUAAAAUCAAUUCUCUGACCUACAGGAAGCCAAUGUAACGAUUUAAGAAUUGGUGUAAUAUGUUCAAAUUUUUUGGUCUUUGUUAAAACUCUAGCAGCAGCUUUCUGAACAAGCUGAAGCUUCCUUAGAGUUUGUUUUGGGAGACCUGUAAGGAGACCAUUGCAGUAAUCAAGCUUACUAGUGAUAAAGGCAUGUACAAGUUUUUGUAAGUCUUCGGUGGACAUGAGCCCUCUAAGUCUUGCUACAUUUUUAAGGUGAUAAUAUGCAGAUUUUGUAACUGAUUUGAUGUGACUUUCGAAAUGUAAAUCAGAAGCAGGGGUCAUAGAGUGUCCAGUGAAGCCCAUUGAGACUG
rnacentral:lncRNA from 1 species